rnacentral:rRNA from 1 species
UCCUGGCUACAGAACGAACGCUGGCGGCAUGGAUUAGGCAUGCAAGUGACGAACUCUUCGGGAGUGAGUAGCGGAAGGGUGAGGAACGCGUGAGUAAUCUGCCCCCCAGUUGGGAAUAACAGUUGGAAACGACUGCUAAUACCGAAUGUGGCUUAAGCUUCGCCUGGAGCUUUGGCUAAAGAUUUAUCGCUGGGGGAUGAGCUCGCGUCCCAUUAGGUAGUUGGUGAGGUAACGGCUCACCAAGCCGACGAUGGGUAGCUGGUCUGAGAGGAUGGUCAGCCACACUGGGACUGAGACACUGCCCAGACUCCUACGGGAGGCUGCAGUCGAGAAUCUUGGGCAAUGCGCGAAAGCGUGACCCAAGCAAUGCCGCGUGUAUGAUGAAGGCCCUCGGGUCGUAAAGUACUGUCUCCCGUGACGAAAUUUGACGGUAGCGGGGAAGGAAGCCACGGCUAACUACGUGCCAGCAGCAGC